UUCCUUGUGGCUCAGAUGGUAAAGUGUCUGCCUGCAAUGCGGGAGACCCAGGUUCGAUCCCUGGGUUGGGAA
rnacentral:tRNA from 1 species